GACGAACGCUGGCGGCGUGCUUAACACAUGCAAGUCGAACGAUGAAGCUGGAGCUUGCUCCGGUGGAUUAGUGGCGAACGGGUGAGUAACACGUGAGCAAUCUGCCCUUGACUCUGGGAUAACUGCGGGAAACUGUAGCUAAUACCGGAUACCUUCACUGGAAGGCAUCUUCUGGUGAAGAAAGAAUUUCGGUCAAGGAUGAGCUCGCGGCCUAUCAGCUUGUUGGUGAGGUAACGGCUCACCAAGGCGACGACGGGUAGCCGGCCUGGGAGGGUGACCGGCCACACUGGGACUGAGACACGGCCCAGACUCCUACGGGAGGCAGCAGUGGGGAAUAUUGCACAAUGGGCGCAAGCCUGAUGCAGCAACGCCGCGUGAGGGAUGAAGGCCUUCGGGUUGUAAACCUCUUUUAGCAGGGAAGAAGCGAAAGUGACGGUACCUGCAGAAAAAGCACCGGCUAACUACGUGCCAGCCGCCGCCGUAA
rnacentral:rRNA from 1 species